AGAGUUUGAUCCUGGCUCAGGAUGAACGCUGGCGGCGUGCUUAACACAUGCAAGUCGAACGAAGCACUUUAUUUGAUUUCCUUCGGGAUUGAUUAUUUUGUGACUGAGUGGCGGACGGGUGAGUAACGCGUGGGUAACCUGCCUUGUACAGGGGGAUAACAGUUGGAAACGGCUGCUAAUACCGCAUAAGCGCACAGCAUCGCAUGAUGCAGUGUGAAAAACUCCGGUGGUAUAAGAUGGACCCGCGUUGGAUUAGCUAGUUGGUGAGGUAACGGCCCACCAAGGCGACGAUCCAUAGCCGACCUGAGAGGGUGACCGGCCACAUUGGGACUGAGACACGGCCCAAACUCCUACGGGAGGCAGCAGUGGGGAAUAUUGCACAAUGGGCGAAAGCCUGAUGCAGCGACGCCGCGUGAGCGAAGAAGUAUUUCGGUAUGUAAAGCUCUAUCAGCAGGGAAGAUAAUGACGGUACCUGACUAAGAAGCACCGGCUAAAUACGUGCCAGCAGCCGCGGUAAUACGUAUGGUGCAAGCGUUAUCCGGAUUUACUGGGUGUAAAGGGAGCGCAGGCGGUGCGGCAAGUCUGAUGUGAAAGCCCGGGGCUCAACCCCGGUACUGCAUUGGAAACUGUCGUACUAGAGUGUCGGAGGGGUAAGCGGAAUUCCUAGUGUAGCGGUGAAAUGCGUAGAUAUUAGGAGGAACACCAGUGGCGAAGGCGGCUUACUGGACGGUAACUGACGUUGAGGCUCGAAAGCGUGGGGAGCAAACAGGAUUAGAUACCCUGGUAGUCCACGCCGUAAACG
rnacentral:rRNA from 1 species